GACGAACGCUGGCGGCGUGCUUAACACAUGCAAGUCGAACGAGAGGCGAACGGGUGAGUAAUGUAUGGGGACUGCCCGAUAGAGGGGGCUAACUACUGGAAACGGUGGCUAAUACCGCAUAAUGUCGGAUGGCCCAUAUGGGAUUAGCUAGUAGGUAAGGUAAUGGCUUACCUAGGCGACGAUCCCUAGCUGGUCUGAGAGGAUGAUCAGCCACACUGGGACUGAGACACGGCCCAGACUCCUACGGAGGCAGCAGUGGGGAAUAUUGCACAAUGGGCGAAAGCCUGAUCCAGCCAUGCCGCGUGUAUGAAGAAGGCCCUAGGGUUGUAAAGUACUUUCAGUAGGGAGGCGUUACCUACAGAAGAAGCACCGGCUAACUCCGUGCCAGCAGCCGCGGUAAUAC
rnacentral:rRNA from 1 species